CCAACUCCAUAUGGCUCAAUAAGCUGAACAAAAUAAGGUAAAGGUUAAUGAUAUAAGUAAUGCCAACUGGAUGACAUAGAAAAUCAAACAAGUUAAUGUUUCAAAAUUUAGGGAAGAAAAAAGGAUGGAGAAGGGGAAGAUGUAUGACUUGGAUAAUCAAACAGUAAAGUCACAACAUUUAGGAAAGGAAAGCCCACAAAAAGGUAACUCAUUAGAAAAGGGUACCGAUAUAUCAGCUACCCAAACUGC
rnacentral:misc_RNA from 1 species